CCCGCAACGAGCGCAACCCUUGCCUUUAGUUGCCAGCAGUUCGGCUGGGCACUACUAAAGGGACUGCCGGUGUUAAAACCGGAGGAAGGUGGGGAUGACGUCAAGUCCUCAUGGCCUUUAUGACCAGGGCUACACACGUACUACAAUGGCCGAUACAAAGGGCAGCGACACUGCGAGGUGAAGCCAAUCCCGUAAAAAUCGGUCUCAGUCCGGAUUGGAGUCUGCAACUCGACUCCAUGAAGUUGGAAUCGCUAGUAAUCGUGGAUCAGCAUGCCACGGUGAAUACGUUCCCGGGCCUU
rnacentral:rRNA from 1 species